rnacentral:rRNA from 1 species
AUGGAUUUCCCCAGAUUUGAUGGUUCCAACCCACAAGAAUGGCUGAGACUCACAGCUAAAUAUUUUGCCAUGGUAUUUGUACCUGAAAGUGCCAAAUUUGGUUAUGCCCGGAUGUAUAUCAUGGGGAGGGCUGAUACUUGGUUACGAAAUUCAGGCAUACUACAUGAAAACCUCACUUGGGCAGAAUUUUGCAAAGUCUUGUGCAAGAGAUUUGCCAACAAUAGUUCCUAUGAAGUAGUGGCUGAUUUCAACACCAUUAAGCAGAAUUUGAGGAUCAAUGGCUGACUAUAAAAAGAGAACCCUGAAGUAAAAGAGCAGUAUUAUGUGAAGUGUUAUAUAAAUGGACUGAGGGGGGACAUAAAACAUUACCUCAAACCAUUUAAACCAGCAAAUAUUUAUGAUGUUGUUGAAACUGCAAGAGUCAUAGAACAGGGAGCAAAUGCUGCUAACCAAUCAAGGAAGUAUUAGCAAAUGAGGUACUUUGAGAAGAACACUGCCACAACUACCUAUACUGGCAGACCAAGACCUACUGAAAUUGCUGCUAACAAACCAGCAGACAAACAGGGCACUAGACCUGAAGUAAAGUAUAGAGAACCAGGGCAAUGCAUGUAUUGUGGACAAAGGUGGUUUAUUGGCCAUAAAUGUGCACAAUACAAGAAUCUUAAUCUCAUGGCUACUAAGGAGACAGAGCUAGUUCUAGAUGAACAAAUGCAGAACAUACAAUACCAACAAGAAGAUGAACAACCGUCCACUUCACCCAAUAUUGAUGAACCACUUAUGUUGAUCUCCAUGCAAGCUGUGAAGGGAAGAAGUACAACUGCUACAUUUCACUAUGUGGGUAGAUAUUGGGGGCAAAAAGGGCCUGGCUCUAGUGGAUUCUUGAAGCACCAACACCUUUAUGGACUUGGCAUUUGCAACAAAAACUAA